UCCGGUUCAUCACCGGCGGUCCCCUUAGAGUUCCCAGCUUUACCUGAUGGCAACUAAGGGCGAGGGUUGCGCUCGUUACGGGACUUAACCCAACAUCUCACGACACGAGCUGACGACAGCCAUGCAGCACCUGUCUCCUGGUUCCCGAAGGCACUCCUCUAUCUCUAGAAGAUUCCAAGGAUGUCAAGAGUAGGUAAGGUUCUUCGCGUUGCAUCGAAUUAAACCACAUGCUCCACCGCUUGUGCGAGCCCCCGUCAAUUUCUUUGAGUUUUAACCUUGCGGCCGUACUCCCCAGGCGGAGAACUUAACGCGUUAGCUUCGACACUAAAAGGUUUUACCCUUCUAACGUCUAGUUCUCAUCGUUUAGGGCGUGGACUAC
rnacentral:misc_RNA from 1 species